rnacentral:rRNA from 1 species
GAUCCUGGCUCAGGAUGAACGCUAGCUACAGGCUUAACACAUGCAAGUCGAGGGGCAGCAUUUUAGUUUGCUUGCAAACUAAAGAUGGCGACCGGCGCACGGGUGAGUAGCACGUAUCCAACCUGCCGAUAACUCAGGGAUAGCCUUUCGAAAGAAAGAUUAAUACCUGAUGGCAUAGGAUUAUCGCAUAAUAAUCCUAUUAAAGAAUUUCGGUUAUCGAUGGGGAUGCGUUCCAUUAGG